CAGUAAUUCUUCAUUAUCAAUUGAAAUAUUUCAAUGAUAAUGAGAAUGGCAACCAUUCAGUUUCCAUUUGUCCCUAUUCACUCGAUUGAUUUUGACAUACUUCUUCAGAUGAAAUACUAAAAUUCAUCUUCAAUUGAAUGGGAGCAUGUGUUCAUUUGAAACAUUUUAUCCUAUGGAAGCCGAUGUGGACAUGAAAUGAUGUUACUAAAAGUUCACUCCGAAUACAAAGGCAUAGCGAACGAAACAUAUACCAGUCAAACGAACGAAAAUGAAAUAUAAACUAUACAGUCCUAUGCAAAUUAUUUCACGCGCACUACUUGGGGUUUGUUCCUACAAUUAUUACGGCCAAAUAGUUUUGGUUACCAGAUGUUGGACGCUCGUAGGACCAAAGUGCAUCGUAUCGGACUAACGGGAGGACGAGAUGAACUAUUCUAACGCCAGCUAUCAUGAUGUCACACUGGGGUUUGUUUUCCUCCAGCUGUCAUAUGUAAAACUGUCAGUUAACUCAAACGUUUUAAAUAGCUUGCCUAACGUAUUUAUGAUGGUGCUCUGUGCCACUGUGAAACUUCUGCCGGAGACGUACACUACCGAUUGGUCGGGAUCCAACCUGCAAAUAAUCCGACCGAAAAGCUCUUUUCGAUUUGUUUUCCUCCAUCUAUCAGAACAUUGUGAUAGGUAGAGGAAAACAAAUCGUGAACACACUAAAGCAGUUACUGAUUGUCAAGUAUUCUAUACAUACCAUGGUAUUGAAUAAAUGGUAGGCAUAUUUUCGAAAGUAAAAGUAAAUCGAAAAAACGUAUUGCUUUUUAGGGGAAAUUAUCGACAAUACUCAUUGGAUUAUUUUAUAUUAUCACAUUUACCGAUUAUUGGCAAUUCUCUAUAACAAUUGCGAAUUAUUUCAUAAUCAUUAAGACAUAUAAAAGUAAUCCUGAUACACCCUAACCUUUACUAAUACAUCUUGAUGCACUGUAAAAAAAUCAUAUAAUUCAUUCAAAUAUUUCCACACAUGAUGAAGCGCAAUUAUCAACAAAAUAAUUCCAAAACACUUCUACAAAAUCCCCAAAAUUUAUGUCAAACCCUAAUGUUUUAUCACAUAAACAUAGUAACACAGUGAUUUCUAUUAGUUUCCUUUUGAAUUCAAUUCCAUUGAAAUUUCUGAGAUUUACCUUGCACUUUGCACCAGUAUUUUGUAACAGUGCGUUCGACUAGAGCAUUAAAUGUAAACAAAAGUAUAGGUCAAAAUGUAGAAUGUGUGGUGUGAAACAAAGUCCAGUGGUUUAAACUCUAUAACGACUUGUAAAUUGCUAAAAUGAGAGAAUCAAGUGCAAAAGAACUUACGCUAUGGAGAAGUGUGUCAGUUUGCAGUUCAAAAAUUUGGAUUUCUACUUGGUGUGUAUAAUGAUCCGUCCGUCCGGGAGGUGGUCCAGUAGAGGCAGUCAGGAACUCCAGAUACUUGAAAAUCACCCGCAGUUUACUGGAUUGUUCCGAUAAUGCUUUGGGAUAAAAUAGAUUGACAUGUCAGGCUGAUUUGUUGGAAUGUGCGACGUGUUCUGCAUUGAAGGGAGCUCAAGCUUGACAAACGGUUCUGAAUCACUGGUGGAAUGAUGAUAGCAAAGUCGUUGGAUUUGAGGCUUGUUACAGCAGGUCGUGGGCGACGCUUGAAUAAUGUCGCGUUGUGUAUUAUUUGUGAUCAUUGAUCAUCAUCAUUGCAGUAUUGAAGUUUCGCAAAAUUGAGUGCUGAAGCUCUUGCAAGUAAUAUUUCCAAUUUGCAGAGCCUAA